UAGAAUACUCCCACACACAUUUCACCCAAACACACACUAAAUAUCUCUCUCUAGAAUUCUCUAUGAAUCUCUUGAUCUCUCACUUGGAUCAACAGCCAAAUCAUCACACCUUGUCGUUAGGUUGCCAUCGACGUAGCUCCCAUCAUUAGACCUCCCCCACGCACUCGGCCGUCUCCGACAGCUACCGUUCGUCGCCUCUCCGGCGGCGAGUUUUGCUGCAAGCAGCAAAGUUUCCCCUCUUUUCUCAUGGCGUCUUCCCCACUUCUCUAACCUCCAUUAAUGGAUUUCAAGGUUGAAGCUUUGUUUCCCCAAACUCAAGUUUCUUGUGAAUUAAGGGGUGGCGCAUCCAAGGCUCGAGGAUGGACAACCUAAACCAAGCUUGAGGAGGUUAUUUUGAAUUUCAGCUUUCGAGGUGGGGUUUACUUUAUCUGUUAAGGAGUCGGUGACGGGGCAGCAGUCAACGUGGUCCACGGUCUCCCAGCCACUAUGUUUGACUAGUAGACCCUUUGGUAUUUGGAUGCAAGGCGGCAGAGACAGACGGAGAUGAUUUCAAGAAGGAGAAGAGCGAUGGAGAGGGGAGAUUGGCUCACACGCCGGUGAGGCACCGACAGGUGUUAUGUGUGUAAAGAAAAGUGUAAAAGUAAGAAAUCAUGACAUACAAUCAAGGCAAAGGGGAAUCCUGAGAUGAUAGAGUUCUCAACGGAGACAACGGCGAGCUGCACGGUGCCGAGGUGGCCGACGAAGAUUUGAGUGUCGGUGAUGAGCCGGUGGAGGUGACACAAGGGUAACAGUAGUAAUGUCGGCAACGGAUCUUCGCGAGAUGAAAUUGAACAGGAGACAGCGUGAAUUGAACCGAAGCUAGACGAGAACGGAGGCUGGAUGUAAGAUCCCCGAUGAAGAUGGGAACGGUGGUGGUUGCAUCUGAUCGCUCAAGCUACCUUCAAUUCGACGGAGGAAGCAAAGCUGCGCACGACUGUGAGAGAGAAUUGAGACAGAGCUGAGAAAGAGAUUUGGCAACAUGAACUGCAGAUUGAAGAGAUCUCCGUGAAAGAGCUCCAGAAUCAUUGUAUUCAUCUCCAGAAAUUUUCUUUGAAGAUUACUUAUUUAAUUUUAACUUUUAAUUCAAAAAAUAGUGUUAUUUCA